CUUACAAGCCACAUGGUUAAAUUUGAGCAUGUACCUACUCAGGUCUGGAAUGGGUAUAACCUAAGUAGUUGGUUUGGAAGUUGGUAUGAGCAGCUUGGAGGAAUUAAGACAUUAGUAGGAGGAGUAGAAUUUAUUAUUUUUUUUUGUGCCUCCUCCUGCCCUGUCUAAUUCCACUAGUGGUAAGGUCCCUACGUAGCAUUAUAGAGAGUACUAUAGAGAGAAAGACAGCUGCCCAUGUAAUGGCUGUCUGGAAGAUAUGAUCCCCUAGCCCGAAGAGAAUAUAUUCAGGAUGAAGAAUGUUGAAGGAGUUUUUAAGAUACUUACAAGGUCUACUCUGGUUCAAUGGCUACUUGAGAGAUGUAGGUAAAACUGUGAUUGGUGAUGCAUCUGGAAUAAUGUUAUAUCAGAGGCAUCAAAGGGGGGAAUGUGAUGGGAUUCCAGCAUGGUCAAAAUUUAG
rnacentral:lncRNA from 1 species